GACGAACGCUGGCGGCGUGCCUAAUACAUGCAAGUAGAACGCUGAAGAGAGGAGCUUGCUCUUCUUGGAUGAGUUGCGAACGGGUGAGUAACGCGUAGGUAACCUGCCUUGUAGCGGGGGAUAACUAUUGGAAACGAUAGCUAAUACCGCAUAACAAUGGAUGACACAUGUCAUUUAUUUGAAAGGGGCAAUUGCUCCACUACAAGAUGGACCUGCGUUGUAUUAGCUAGUAGGUGAGGUAACGGCUCACCUAGGCGACGAUACAUAGCCGACCUGAGAGGGUGAUCGGCCACCUGGGACUGAGACACGGCCCAGACUCCUACGGGAGGCAGCAGUAGGGAAUCUUCGGCAAUGGGGGCAACCCUGACCGAGCAACGCCGCGUGAGUGAAGAAGGUUUUCGGAUCGUAAAGCUCUGUUGUAAGUCAAGAACGAGUGUGAGA
rnacentral:rRNA from 1 species